GAGACAGAGAAGACUAGCAAGUGAAGCAGACAGAAUAAAAGGCUUGGACAACAGCCAAACUCUUCGAAGCUGGCCGGACCUCCGUCCGAAAAUCCUCUCAGCGUGGUAACGAAAAAAUGGCAGACUACAUAGUUCAAGAUUCCCACCUUGAUAAAAACACAUAACUAUUCAACUGGGAGAGUCAGUAGCACUGCUGAGUCAAUGUGACAGAUGGUGCCCCUUGGUCCAUUGUCCUUUGUGUAGUGCUAAUGUGUUUAAGUCCUCCAAACUGGAAAAUUAAAAAAACAUUUGAAGAGUCAUUUCAAGAAGGCAGUUCUCCAUGAAGUAUGCUCUGCACCUUGUCUUCGAUGCGCCAUUUGACUUCACAGCUGACAAAGGUGUUCACUAAAGGGGCACUGGAGAGUUUGAAUGAGACACAGAGCAUUGAGCAGACAGUGCUGGAAAUGGAUUCAAAUGUGAUCCCACAUGAGUUCAUUUUUAUUGAUGAGGCUGGCUUCAACCUUACCAGAACCAGAA